rnacentral:rRNA from 1 species
CCUACGGGAGGCAGCAGUGGGGAAUAUUGCGCAAUGGGCGAAAGCCUGACGCAGCGACGCCGCGUGAGGGAUGAAGGUCUUCGGAUCGUAAACCUCUGUCAGCAGGGAAGAACGGUCACUGUGCUAAUCAGCAGUGAAUUGACGGUACCUGCAAAGGAAGCACCGGCUAACUCCGUGCCAGCAGCCGCGGUAAUACGGAGGGUGCGAGCGUUAACCGGAAUUACUGGGCGUAAAGCGCUCGUAGGCGGUAUGUCAAGUCAAGGGUGAAAUCCCCGCGCUCAACGUGGGAAGUGCCUUUGAAACGGGCAAACGUGAGUGUGUGAGAGGAUAGUGGAAUUCCAGGUGUAGGGGUGAAAUCCGCAGAUAUCUGGAGGAACAGCAGUGGCGAAGGAGACUAUCUGGCACAUAACUGACGCUGAGGAGCGAAAGCGUGGGUAGCAAACAGGAUUAGAUACCCGAGUAGUC